rnacentral:rRNA from 1 species
AUUGAACGCUGGCGGCAGGCCUAACACAUGCAAGUCGAGCGGAUGAGAGGAGCUUGCUUCUCGAUUCAGCGGCGGACGGGUGAGUAAUGCCUAGGAAUCUGCCUAGUAGUGGGGGACAACGUUUCGAAAGGAACGCUAAUACCGCAUACGUCCUACGGGAGAAAGUGGGGGAUCUUCGGACCUCACGCUAUUAGAUGAGCCUAGGUCGGAUUAGCUAGUUGGUAGGGUAAAGGCCUACCAAGGCGACGAUCCGUAACUGGUCUGAGAGGAUGAUCAGUCACACUGGAACUGAGACGCGGUCCGGACUCCUACGGGAGGCAGCAGUGGGGAAUAUUGGACAAUGGGCGCAAGCCUGAUCCAGCCAUGCCGCGUGUGUGAAGAAGGCCCUCGGGUCGUAAAGCACUUUAAGUUGGGAGGAAGGGCUUACAGCGAAUACCUGUGAGUUUUGACGUUACCGACAGAAUAAGCACCGGCUAACUUCGUGCCAGCAGCCGCAGUAA